rnacentral:rRNA from 1 species
UUGAUUAUGACGUACUUGUACUGAUUGAGAUUUUAACACGAAGUGAGUGGCGAACGGGUGAGUAACACGUGGGUAACCUGCCCAGAAGUAGGGGAUAACACCUGGAAACAGAUGCUAAUACCGUAUAACAGAGAAAACCGCAUGGUUUUCUUUUAAAAGAUGGCUCUGCUAUCACUUCUGGAUGGACCCGCGGCGUAUUAGCUAGUUGGUGAGGUAAAGGCUCACCAAGGCAGUGAUACGUAGCCGACCUGAGAGGGUAAUCGGCCACAUUGGGACUGAGACACGGCCCAGACUCCUACGGGAGGCAGCAGUAGGGAAUCUUCCACAAUGGACGCAAGUCUGAUGGAGCAACGCCGCGUGAGUGAAGAAGGGUUUCGGCUCGUAAAGCUCUGUUGUUAAAGAAGAACGUGGGUAAGAGUAACUGUUUACCCAGUGACGGUAUUUAACCAGAAAGCCACGGCUAACUACGUGCCAGCAGCCGCGGUAAUACGUAGGUGGCAAGCGUUAUCCGGAUUUAUUGGGCGUAAAGCGAGCGCAGGCGGUCUUUUAAGUCUAAUGUGAAAGCCUUCGGCUCAACCGAAGAAGUGCAUUGGAAACUGGGAGACUUGAGUGCAGAAGAGGACAGUGGAACUCCAUGUGUAGCGGUGAAAUGCGUAGAUAUAUGGAAGAACACCAGUGGCGAAGGCGGCUGUCUGGUCUGCAACUGACGCUGAGGCUCGAAAGCAUGGGUAGCGAACAGGAUUAGAUACCCUGGUAGUCCAUGCCGUAAACGAUGAUUACUAAGUGUUGGAGGGUUUCCGCCCUUCAGUGCUGCAGCUAACGCAUUAAGUAAUCCGCCUGGGGAGUACGACCGCAAGGUUGAAACUCAAAAGAAUUGACGGGGGCCCGCACAAGCGGUGG